rnacentral:rRNA from 1 species
CCUACAAGUUGGCACGUAAGUUAAAAAAAAGAGACUGAGACAUAACGAAAUGAUAACGCACUUAAUAUAAAAAUAGGUCAAAACGAGGAGAACUACUAACCUUCAAUCGUAACGAGGACAAUCUCGUUGUCAUAUGGUUUCGUUCUAGGUUGGCUCGAUUCCUACGAGAGAGAACGAAAGGGUUGUUGAAGUCUUCUCUAAAGACCUAGUCCAUAGUCCAGGUCUCGGAUACCUCUCUUCGUUGUAGUACUACGACGAUAUAGAAUCACCAGAAAGAAAGUGUUACCACUAGACGAAGAAUAGACAAGAUCCACAGUGACAGUAUCGAACGAACCGUAUUGGAAGGAAGAAAACUACCAACAGUUGUGUGUAAAUUCAGUGUGUAUGUGGUAUGUUCUACAUCUCGGAAACCAUAUACGUCGGCGUGAGGGAACGGCGGUGGACGAUGAAGUUCAGGCGGCUGCCGGUGCAACCUUUGAUCCCGAAGAGGUAUCGGGCGGAGUUAGAGGUGGAGAGAAAGAACCGCUCCUUGUAUAAAAACGUCCGGUCCUCCUUCGAACU